CAAUAGCGUAUAUUAAAGUUGUUGCAGUUAAAAAGCUCGUAGUUGGAUUUGUGGCGUACGGUGUGUUCCGGGCACUUGUUGUCUGAGUAACCUGCUGUUGCCAUCCUUGGGUGGAACCUGUGUGGCAUUAGGUUGUCGUGCAGGGGAUGCCCAUCAUUUACUGUGAAAAAAUUAGAGUGUUCAAAGCAGGCUUAUGCCGUUGAAUAUAUUGGCAUGGAAUAAUGAGAUAGGACUUUUUUGCUAUUUUGUUGGUUUGCGCAAGAAGGUAAUGAUUAAUAGGGACAGUUGGGGGUAUUCGUAUUCCAUUGUCAGAGGUGAAAUUCUUGGAUUUUUGGAAGACGAACUACUGCGAAAGCAUUUACCAAGGAUGUUUUCAUUAA
rnacentral:rRNA from 1 species